rnacentral:rRNA from 1 species
CCGGCGCACGGGUGGGUAACACGUAUGCAAUCCACCUGUAACAGGGGGAGUAACCCGGAGAAAUCCGGACUAAUACCCCAUAAUAUGGGCGCUCCGCAUGGAGAGCCCAUUAAAGAGAGCAAUUUUGGUUACAGACGAGCAUGCGCUCCAUUAGCCAGUUGGCGGGGUAACGGCCCACCAAAGCGACGAUGGAUAGGGGUUCUGAGAGGAAGGUCCCCCACAUUGGAACUGAGACACGGUCCAA